GGUAGCCUACGGGGCGCAGCAGUGGGGAAUAUUGGGCAAUGGGCGCAAGCCUGACCCAGCAACGCCGCGUGAAGGAAGAAGGCUUUCGGGUUGUAAACUUCUUUUCUUGGGGACGAAGAAAGUGACGGUACCCAAGGAAUAAGCCACGGCUAACUACGUGCCAGCAGCCGCGGUAAUACGUAGGUGGCAAGCGUUAUCCGGAUUUAUUGGGUGUAACGGGCGUGUAGGCGGGGGUG
rnacentral:rRNA from 1 species